UUUUGGGGCGGUGUUUACAGACUCUUCUUCUCUGCCUCCGCCCUGCUCUUGGCCCGAGAUUUGAGCCUCCUCUGUUUUCCAGCCAGACCCGGAAAAACGAAAAUACAGCUCAGGGAGCCCCCAACAGCCAGCGCUUGUGCCAGCUCACCUCUGGCCAUGGCACAGCUGCUGGUGCAUGCAGUGGGCCAAGGCUAACUCCACAUUCUUCCCGCCCUCUCUCUGCUUCACGGAGACUGGCAGGAGCCUGCAUGCAGAUGGAGGAAGGGUUCAACUCGACCGGCUGCCCAAGUAAACUGGGUCUCUUCUCACCAUAAUGCUACAACAAGAUUAUCUUGUCUGCUGAGGAGCUCUAAGCAG
rfam:Sorex araneus cont1.189716, whole genome shotgun sequence.